UACAGAGGGGGCAAGCGUUGUUCGGAAUUACUGGGCGUAAAGGGCGCGUAGGCGGCCUGUUAAGUCGAACGUGAAAUCCCCGGGCUCAACCCGGGAACUGCGUCCGAUACUGGCAGGCUUGAAUCCGGGAGAGGGAUGUGGAAUUCCAGGUGUAGCGGUGAAAUGCGUAGAUAUCUGGAGGAACACCGGUGGCGAAGGCGGCAUCCUGGACCGGUAUGGACGCUGAGGCGCGAAAGCCAGGGGAGCAAACGGG
rnacentral:rRNA from 1 species